rnacentral:tRNA from 1 species
GGGUGAUUAGUCUAGUGGUUAGGACGCUUCGUUGUGGUAAACCGAAGAAACCCCGGUUCGAUUCCGGGAUCGCCCA